rnacentral:rRNA from 1 species
GAUUAAGCCAUGCAUGUGUAAGUACGAGCAAUCUGUAUGCUCUGACCGUGGACGGCUCAUUAUAUCAGCUAUUAUUUGUUGGAUCUGUACACCCAGUUUAAUUGGAUAACUGUGGUAAUUCUAGAGCUAAUACAUGAUUCCUAUAGUCCCCGACUCCUUGUGUCAAAACUGGGAGGAAGGGUGCUUUUAUUAUUGAACUCAAACUGGUUUGCGCGUCUUUCGGGACGUUUAAGCAAAAACCCCUAUUAUGAUGACUCAGAAUAACUUCUUGCUGAGCGCACGGCCUUCGCGUCGGCGCCGCUUCUUUCAAGUGUCUGCCUUAUCAGCUUUCGAUUGUAAGUUACACGCUUACAAUGGCUAUAACGGGUAACGGGGAAUCAGGGUUCGAUUCCGGAGAGGGAGCCUGAGAAACGGCUACCACUUCCAAGGAAGGCAGCAGGCACGCAAAUUACCCACUCCCGGCUCGGGGAGGUAGUGACGAAAAAUAACGAUGCAAGACUCAUCUGAGCCUAUGUAAUCGGAAUGAGAACACUUUAAAUCCUUUAUCUAGUAUCCAUUGGAGGGCAAGUCUGGUGCCAGCAGCCGCGGUAAUUCCAGCUCCAAUAGCAUAUACCAAUGUUGCUGCGGUUAAAAAGCUCGUAGUUGGGUUUCGAGAAGAGCUUUGUGAGGUCCGCCUUACCGAGAGGUGGCGGACUUUAAUACAAAUGCCUCUGGAAAUUGGGACGCGCGUAGCCUCCCUCGUCCGGGCGGCCGUCACCUCUGUUUCGGGUGGGGUUUCAUCCCCUCGYGAUUCAAGUGYAUGCCGUUUUCCGGCGUGCGGAGUGCGCCGCCCCUGUGCCUUCCCCUUCGGGUUUGCUCUUGAUCGAGUGUCCCGGGUGGUCGGCGUGUUUACUUUGAAUAAAUUAGAGUGCUCAAAACAGGAAGAAUAUGACGCCUGUAUAGAGUUGCAUGGAAUAAUGGAACAGGACCCGGGCUCCGACCGUUUUGUCCAGUUUGGAGGAGCCUGGGUAAUGAUUAAAAGAGACUGCCGGGGGCAUCUGUACUGCAGCGCGAGAGGUGAAAUUCUAUGACCGUUGCAUGACAAACAACAGCGAAAGCAUUUGCCAAGAAUGUCUUCAUUAAUCAAGAACGAAAGUUAGAGGUUCGAAGGCGAUCAGAUACCGCCCUAGUUCUAACCAUAAACUAUGCUAACCAGCAAUCCGCCAGUGUUAUACCAAUGACCUGUGCGGGCAACUUCCGGGAAACCAAAGUUUUUGAGUUUCGGGGGAAGUAUGGUUGCAAAUCUGAAACUUAAAGGAAUUGACGGAAGGGCACCACCAGGAGUGGAGCCUGCGGCUUAAUUUGACUCAACACGGGAAAACUCACCAGGCCCGGACACUGGAAGGAUUGACAGAUUGAGAGCUCUUUCUCGAUUCAGUGGUUGGUGGUGCAUGGCCGUUCUUAGUUGGUGGAGUGAUUUGUCUGGUUAAUUCCGAUAACGAACGAGACUCUGGCCUACUAAAUAGUCGACGGAUUACCUGCGUAAGUCCGAUCGAGUUACUUCUUCUUAGAGGGAUAAGUGGUAUAAUCUAGCCACAUGAGAUUGAGCAAUAACAGGUCUGUGAUGCCCUUAGAUGUUCUGGGCCGCACGCGCGCUACACUGAAGUGAGCAGCGUGACUUUCCCCUCCGAGAGGAGAUGGGUAACCAUCAAAUCCCUUCCUGAUAGGGCUUGGGGUCUGUAACUAUUUCCCAUAAACGAGGAAUUCCCAGUAAGCGCAGGUCAAGAGCUUGCGUUGACUAAGUCCCUGCCCUUUGUACACACCGCCCGUCGCUACUACCGAUUGAAUGGUUUAGUGAGGACUUUGGACUGUCGCUCGAAUGAACUCUAAGGGUUAAUUCCCGCGUUCUUAGGGCCCGACGGAAAGAUGUCCAAACUUGAUCAUUUAGAGGAAGUAAAAGUCG